rnacentral:lncRNA from 1 species
AAGUGACUGAUCCAGCUGAAAAACAGAGUAGUGAAAUGAAACAAAGUAUUCCCCAUCUUUUACAUUUCUUACACCCCACACACCUCAGUCUUGUGUGUCCUCAUGGAAAAUUAAGAAAUCAUGAGAGGCUGGAUGAAGCAGCAAGUGGAGAUUUUAGGAGUGCAUCUACACACUGAUUUAGCAAACUGCAUAUGAAAGGAGGGAUGUAAACAGACUUUGACUGUGCCUAUAUGGAGAUCUUGGACCCUGUUAUGCCUUGUAUUGAUCUGGAGGUCAACCAGAACAUGCUUAUUCUGGAGCAGAACAAUAAGAUGGAGAUAACAGAACAGGUACCUGAUCCCUUGGCUGAGUAUAAACUGAUGUUCUUGAUGAUCUGGGAAAAAAGAAAAGGCCCGCUGAAGUUCUUGGCUUCUAUGAUGUCUUGUGGCAUUCAACUCUUUAAACUAAAUCUGUAUAAUGAAAGCAAAUUUUCCUUUUCAAGAGGCUGGAAAUGCAUUACUUCACUAAAAAGUACCUUUUUUGUGUGUGAUAUGGAGCAUACAAACUGAUCCGUUGGAACGCAAAAUUAUAACGUACAGAUUUAUGCAAGAGGGAUGACUGCAAAGUGCGUUGCAUGAGUAGUGUAAGAAGCUGAAAAUUGCUGCUGUUGUAGCUGUCAUAGACAUGUUAUUUUCUUUGGUAUGUGUGGAGUUUUUGCUGUCAGGCUUUUAUCCUGCAGAUUGUUUGUGCUGCACCUCUCUUCCUGCUUAAAAUAGAAAAUCAGUCACUGAACCUGGAUACUAUUAAGUGUUCUUAGAAUAGUUCUUAACUAACUUGGUUGAUUUGUGCUUUCUGAUGAAAGAACAUUUGGUUGUUUAUUGCAGGCUCUGAACAAACAUGUUCUUCCAAAAUCAACAAAUAAAAUUACAUAUUGCAUUGCA